GCUUUUAUGGCCUAGUGGUUAGAGCGUCCGUCUCGGAUUCAGGAGGUAGUAGGCUCGAUCCUUGGUCGAGUCAUACCAAAAGCU